CCCCACCCGGCCCCAGCGGGUCCCCGGUGACCGCGGCCUUGAAGGACAUGAGCAGCACCCUGCCCGCAUUGAGGCCCGCUGCACCACCACUCAGCGAAACGCCGACCAGCAGCCACAGCGCCACCGGCCCGCCGCCUCCCCCCGCGCCGCGCUUCAUCCCCUCCAUCGCCGCUGCGGCGAGCUACCUAGGCACCCAGCAGCGCCGGCAUCGCCACGGGGGAGCCCUCCCUCUCAUCCGCCCUUCGCGGAGCACACGACACGCGUUGACCCGAGCCGUGCCGACAAUACCGGGGAGCUGGAGGAGCUGUCUCGGUAGCGCAGCGCCCUCCCGUCGCGGUCAGGUCAGGGCCGAGCACCAGCAGGAGGAGGAGGUGGAUGGGAUGGGGGAGCCGGUGCUGGUAGAGCAGGGAGUGAGGCCGCGAGGGGUCGUCCCCAUUUUGCAUUGAUCCGCUAAUGCUUACCUCUUACUCGGAUUCCCUGAUGGUUUGUCAUUCCAGGUUUGGUUCCCUGCGCUUGGAGAGCUCCAGACGGAUUCAUACCCGUCUACUGCAGCUAGCUCUACCUCCUAUCCUAUACCAUGCAAGUGAUUUUCCAGCAGCAUGUUCGUUUGAUGCACAUUCUUGACUCUUCAUAGAUUUUAUAGAAUAGAUUCAUUCAGUAGUGGCGUUGCUCAAAAGCCAUGCAGUGUUUCUUUCCUGCGGAGGUUAUCAAGAGCAUAAGGACGCCCACGUUUAUCUUGAACUCUGCCUACGACUCUUGGCAGGCACAGCACUUCCAUUUCAGCUUCAUUUUCAGUUCCUACUUCAAAGGUGGAAAAGAGCUAAGAUAAAGACCCUGACCGCUAUCCAUGAGGUUUGAUCUGUGUGCAGGUACAGAAUGUUGUUGUGCCGGAUAGUUCCUCUCCUGAUGAGUCAUGGCGCCGCCGCAGAGCUGACAUCCGCAGCUGCAACUCCUCACAGAUACAAGUGCUCAAUGGAUUUAGGAAGGCGAUGGUGGAUGGCCUCAAGGCUGUAGGGGUCAACAAGAGCUGCAGCUGGUUCAUCGAUUCAUGCUUCAUCCACUGUCAGGCAUGGUUCGAUAACUCAUUGCAGUAAGGUAAUUAACUAGCCAAUUGAUCUUUGGAUAUGAUGUACGUCUAUUAAGCAUGUGUAAAUCUAUUAGUUCCUGAUUCCACUACCUAUUUAUGGCGUUACAAUGCUGGCUGCAUCGCAGCAUGGAAAUUGUUUUUCAUUUCCAUGAACAAAAAACGUGCUUGAUUAGGCCUCUUUUUUUCUGGAGUGGUACAGGUGUGUGCAGAUCAAAUUGUUUUUUUUAUGAACUCUGUUGUUCCUAUCUUAUCAUAUACAUGGCUGCUUCCACAAUUGAGAUGGAGUACAUGCCUCGAUGAAUUGUUUGAGCAACGCAGAAAGCAAAACAUUCUAAGGGUCGAUAUCUGCUCAGACUGUCAUCCGGGAGCAGGCCUCCGGCAGUGACACUGCAACCAUCAAGGCAGCAACCACCAAAGAAAACAUAUAUGCCUGAUUUCUUCCAUAUAUGUAUCAGCAUUGUUCUGGUUGGGCUUAGCAGCCUUUCAGAUGGAUUUAAACGUCAUUCAGUAUGACUGAUGUUGCUUAUUGUCUAACUUACAAUUAAACAGAAAGGCAAAAGGAAAAUACUCUAAACAGCUUCAAUUUUCCUCUCGCAGGAAGCAACUGAUUUGUAGUUUGCAAAGCACUAUGAUCAAGUACCGAUGUGCUGGAAUUCCUUGCCAAAGCGCAAAGCUAGAUUAACCUCCGUCAAAAUAUUGUGUUGCAAAAGUAAAUGUCAUUUAAGCCAAUUUGCAUUACAUAUCUUUUUAUCAACAUUUAAGUCUAGAUUCAUCAUAUGGUCUUCUUUACUGCGAUAAAUGACAUAUGUUGAAAUCCUUAUCCCGCCUUUACAUUUUUUUCCCAGUAUCGGUUUUGAGUAUUCCAUUAACCUUAGUAGAUCUAAAUUAACAUUUUUUUCUGACUUCAUGUUCAGUUUCUAUUCAUGAGAAUUCUAUUUACCGGGCAUGUGCUCCCCAAAAGGAUAAGCAAAGGAGAUUUAUCUGUUCGAGCACAACUGCAAAAGAUUUAUCUAUGUACACUCAUUUAUCUAAAACUACUUCAAUUAAAAGCCUAGCAGAAUACAUGCUUACUUUGGAAGGAUGGUGCGGCCCUUGCAGGACACUUAAAACUAGAUUCUGUUAUAUUUCAGGUAUCCUCCCUUGCUUGCAACACAGAUGUUUCACUUGCAGGAAUGACAUCAUCCCCACUUACCUAUGAAGCAAUUCAGCUGCUGGCCAUGCCAACGACUAUCAGGGUGACACCAAAGCAAGAAUGCUGCCAUUUUCCCAAAUCACUGAAUGCAUCUACUGGUCGUGCAUUUCUCUGUCAGCAUUCCAACUGUGUUAUCAUGAAGGAAUUUCACCCUCUGCUUAAUGUACCUAUGUAUUAUGGCAUUUCCAUUCCUAAAUAUACUGGCUACUAAGAUAAGUCCAAGAAACUCAACCAAAUCACUUCUACUGCUAAUUCCGAGUGACUCCACAGCUUCCAACUCCAAAGGGUCAUCAUCCAUAACACCUGCAUCCUCUCUCCUCUUGCUGAAGAGAGCAAACGAUGAUGCUGUUGACCAUUUCUGAAUCCAUUGCCACAUGUGCUCAGGCAAUUGGACGCUCUGGCCGUCCUCCAUGAUCUCUUGAAGCCUUGCACGCAUUUGACUAAAGCGAACGGCUUCACAGAAUAGGACUGCCAA